rnacentral:rRNA from 1 species
AUGCACGUCAGGCUGCUGAAUCUCACGUACAACACACCACCGUUGCCGGCCGCGUGUCCAGUCACUUCAGCAGCUCCGGUCAUGCCGCAGCAGGCUGCUCUCAGCGGCAGCCGCGGGGGAGAACAAGUGGAGCGGCCUGAUGUUGAACACUACCAUGGGGAGGUUACGCAGGAGGUUACUAGCUCCCGCCGCUCCAGCGCGUCGAACGUGUUAAAGAAUAGAGAUGAUGCUGGUGGAUGGUUUCACGGCCGCGAGGCCCGCGACGAUGGGCUAGCUCCAGCAGCUUGCACGUCGGGUCGAGGUGCCGGCCGAGCUGCAUCAGGUCGCGCACUCGGUACGACGGCAGCGCGCUCAAAUCCGUCUGGGAUGAUGGAGCCUAAAUUGUGA